GGGGCCUCCUGGUAUCACUGGUCCAAAAGGCCAGAGAGGAGAGAGGGGGGAGCCUGGGUAUGUCAUAGGGGGCAUAGGAGACGGCCAUUAUGCUCCUGGACGAAAGGGAGAGCCUGGAUCAUCAGGACCCCAAGGGGCUUCGGGUGUACCAGGGGUCUCUGGACCCUCAGGCCUGCCUGGACAGUCAGGUUCACCUGGGUCCUCAGGGAUAUCUG